AUGCUUAAGAUGUUUGGUAUCUAUACGCUUGAGGCUAUCAUGAUUCAUGUACUAGGCUUGGUAUUCAACACUCUUCAGGAAUCAUCCGCAGUUAAGGCAGCUAGAUCUGUAGAUCAACUUAAUUCAACUGUACGAGAACAAGCAAGGUUUCUACAAUACAAAGCACCAGGUAGUGGUAAGGUGGAAGCAGUACUCACUAGUAAGGUAGAAUCAGUUAAGGAUGUUGUUCAGCCCAAAGGUGCUAGCAAAAAAGAGAAAAAGAAAAGAAUUCAGUGUCAUUAUGAUAUCGGGAAAUACUUGCUCCAAUUCAUGAUUGAAAGAAAUGUUCUACGUAUAUCAACAGAUAGGGGAGUAACAAAAGAAGAUCCAGUGCUGGUUCUUAAGAAAGGUCAAGGGUAUAUAGAGAAUUCUUGUUAUGUUAUGUGCAAUUUGAACAUAAAUCUGCUCCCUAUCAAACUCAAUCUUCCGAUGCUUUGCAAACCCUUGGAUUGGCAACCAGCAGAGAGGGGGUCUGAUCCUAAUACAUUAUCGGAUCUGAUAGGAGGUUACUUAUGCAAACCCACGGGGGAUAUCUAG
rnacentral:rRNA from 1 species